UGUAAACAGUAUCCGCAGCAGCGCGCCUUGGGUCAAGUACCUUAGUUGCGAGACUAAAGUUUGGGCCCGCGCCAGUUGGAAACUCACUUCAACUUUCGUCCACCGUGCAGUGCAGUGACGACUUUGUUCAGCGGUUGCCAGCGCAGGAGCCCUAGGCUGCAGUCCUCCAACUUGUCCAACCCGGCAGUUCCGGCACAAUGGCGUAUCAAACCAUCCACUGGACCGCCGCCCAACGCUACGGUGGCGAAGUAGAUGGAGGAAGAGAGGCGUGCCUGGCGAGAGUCAACAGUGGAACCAUGGCACAAAGCCCUAGUGCGAUUGAGCAGAGAGUGACGGAGUAAAGCCCGGAGGAGGCACAGCAUGUGUGGGCGUGUGAGUGGGUGGGCGUGUGGGUGGUAGACGACAAGGAUGAGGACUCUCACUCCAACUAACGAGGACUCGCACUCCAACUAGUGAUUGAUACUUCGGAGGGAAACCUUGAUCUGUUGCAGUCAGAGCAUGACUGGAAUCGUUGCCAAAAGAGAAAAUCUGUCCCUGUCCCGUACAUCUUCAGAUUUUUCAUACUACUUUUGCGACGUGCUUACAUGUAAAUGGUACAAAAUGUGUGUGUUGCAUGCGUGCAUGUGUGUGUUGUAUGUGUGUGUUGUAUGCGUGCAUGUGUGUGUUGUAUGUGUGUGUUGUAUGCGUGUGUGUGUGUGUGUGUGUGUGUGUGUGUGUGUGUGUGUGUGUGUGUG